rnacentral:lncRNA from 1 species
GCUGGCUUUCUUCACUUUGUAUUCUUUUUUGAUUUUUAGAAGGAAAGCCAGAUGAAACAUUUUAAAAUAAGUCAUAUGACAUGUUAGCUUUAGAAUGUAUUAAUACUUUCAUAACUGUGUGCUUGUCCUUAACUUCCCUAUCUAUAUGGCAAUUUUUAAUCAGGGAAAGUUUUAAAUAAGUAUAUACACACACAUUUCUGAUGGUGCUCAUUUAUACUGGACUUUGAUUUGUGUACUGAGUUUCACAGCAUGAACCACAUAAUCACCACAUAAUCAUUGACCCUGACUUUUAUUUCCCAAACUGUCCUGUUUCUUAGGGUCAUAGUCAUAUUGAGAAAUCCCAGUAAGUAUAACUUCAUUAAACUUUUGAGUUAAAAAUGUAGUAAGAUUCUCUUUCACGUUAGUGUUAUCUUUCUAGAGUUACUUGAAUUUUAAUUUUGUUUCCAAAACAUACCUUAAUUAGAUACCUAAAUUGAGUUCUGUCUAACUGAAGGCAAAACAGUGUGACAAAGUUUAUUUUUAAACACUAAGUGCUUGAUAGCUUGUUAUGGUG